rnacentral:rRNA from 1 species
GAUGAACGCUAGCGGCAGGCUUAACACAUGCAAGUCGAGGGGUAUAGUUCUUCGGAGCUAGAGACCGGCGCACGGGUGCGUAACGCGUAUGCAAUCUACCUUUUGCAGAGGGAUAGCCCAGAGAAAUUUGGAUUAAUACCUCAUGGUAUGUGAGAAUGGCAUCAUUUUCACAUUAAAGUCACAACGGCAAAAGAUGAGCAUGCGUCCCAUUAGCUAGUUGGUAAGGUAACGGCUUACCAAGGCAACGAUGGGUAGGGGUCCUGAGAGGGAGAUCCCCCACACUCGUACUGCGACGAGGACCAGACUCCUACGGGAGGAAGAAGUGAGGAAUAUUGGACAAUGGGCGCAAGCCUGAUCCAGCCAUGCCGCGUGCAGGAUGACGGUCCUAUGGAUUGUAAACUGCUUUUGUACAGGAAGAAACACUGGUUCGUGAACCAGCUUGACGGUACUGUAAGAAUAAGGAUCGGCUAACUCCGUGCCAGCCGCCGCGGUAAUAC